rnacentral:rRNA from 3 species
UCCUACGGGAGGCAGCAGUGGGGAAUAUUGCACAAUGGGCGCAAGCCUGAUGCAGCCAUGCCGCGUGUAUGAAGAAGGCCUUCGGGUUGUAAAGUACUUUCAGCGGGGAGGAAGGCGUUGAGGUUAAUAACCGCAGCAAUGACGUACUCGCAG